rnacentral:tRNA from 1 species
GGUGGUAGAGCAUGUGCCUAGCAUGCAUGAAGUCCUGGGUUCAAUCCCCAGUACCUCCA